rfam:Daphnia magna strain Xinb3 contig48763, whole genome shotgun sequence.
UCAUCGGCCCUUUUCAGGGCCACCACUUAUUAAAG